rnacentral:rRNA from 1 species
AUGAAGGGAGGAACUGCUUCUACUUUUCUUCUGAAAUCUCAAUGCCAUGUCUUGAUUUUCAGAGGCCAGCGUUCUCGAGUGGCAGAGCGGAGCCGUUUGCCUAGCGGGUCGAGCAGGUCAUCAAGGGACAGCUUAAUGCAUAUUUCUACAAUCAAAGAAGGCAAGGACGAGGCGGAGGAGUUCCUGAAGAUGGCCAAGGAGAAGACUGACGACGUUGCCGAGGGCGCAAAGGAGACAGUGCAGGAGACCAAGGAGGUGGUGCUCGGCGAGUCCGACGAUGACAUGGACAAGUUCAAGCAGCAGGUCGAGCAGGGGAGCUACGAUCAGAAAUAA